rnacentral:rRNA from 1 species
GGAAGGUGGGAUGAUGUCAAGUCAGCAUGGCCUUUAUAUCCUGGGCUACACACACGCUACAAUGGCCAGCACAGUAGGUUGCUAAGCCGCGAGGUGGAGCCAAUCCAUAAAGACUGGUCUCAGUUCAGAUUGCAGGCUGCAACCCGCCUGCAUGAAGAUGGAGUUGCUAGUAACCGCAGGUCAGCUAUACUGCGGUGAAUACGUUCCCGGGGCUU